AAAUGAGACAGUCUUAAUGAGUCUUGAAAAAGUUAGCCAUUGAAGAGAUGCUGGAGGUAGGAAAAAAGAACAAACUCAUGCCUUCUGCAAAAUGCUAG